CAACAUCAUACAUCUUAUAGCAAUUCAACAUGAAGUGCUUCAUUGGGACACUUGUGGUUUUCUUGUUAGCGGAGUCUGUUUUCAGUUUAAGUUGUUACACGGACGAUGGCACAAUUCCAUUGUCUGUUGUAAGAAGACCUGUCUAUUACGAAGAGUGCAACAGUUACUUGGCUAAAAUUGGAAAGAAAUAUAAUUUAGCCGACAAUGGUUUAGAUUUUGAUCUAAGAUGUUUUAAAAUGGUUGUAACCACAAACAGACGUGCAACAGACUUUAUGGUUAAAGGCUGUGUACCGGAAGGUAUGUGCGAUGUUUUGGUGGCAGCUCUAAUUGAAAAAGAACUUGAGAAAAAUAGCACCAUUUCUGUGCAAAAUAUGAAAUGUGGGGAAUGCAAGACCAAUGGCUGCAAUAUCUAUUAGACAGUCUAUAAGAGCAGAACUGUAAUAAUAAUAAGCAUGCAAUUUUAAAAAGAAGCUGAUUUCUGUUUAAAUAUAGUAAAAUAA